CACGCCUGGCGGGACCGUUAGCUCAGUGAGGUGAGAGAGGUCUUCAGGGAUCUGGUUCUGGUUUGCAGGUUCCGACCCGGGCGGACUGGACGGGGCUCAGGUGAGUCGCCCAGAAGAGACUGGAAUGCCUGAUGAACUUUUCCAAAUGUUCUCCAGGUCUGCUGCCAGGGGUCAGUGGCAUUCAGGGAUGUGUCCAUAGACUUCUAUCAGGAGGAAUGGAAAUGCUUGGACUCUGGUCAGAUGAAUUUGUACAAAGAAAUGAUGUUGGAGAAUUUCAGCAACCUGGCUUCAGUGAGUAAGGAUAACUACCCCCAAAAUUCAGAGGGUGCCUACAGAAUGUCUCCUCUCUCCAUCAUAAAUUGUUUUCUUUAAGACACCAGCUGAAUUUCUGCUCCCUGUUCUCCAAAGAAUGGUUUGCAUUGGAGUGGAAUGGAAGAGUUGGAAAUGUGCAGCUCCAGUGGGUUGCAGCUGAAGCUUCAUCUUCUCCAUCUUUGGUCCUUCCUGUAGGGCAUUUCUUUCUUGAUCACCAAGGGACUGCAUCUAAUUUCUGGACACCCACAGCAUAACCCUGUCCCAUGUCUUUUCUUGUGAGCAGGACUUCAGUUCUAAGCCAGCUGUGAUCUCCUUAUUGGAACAAGGAAAAGAGCCCUGGAUGGUUGACAGAGAGCUGACCAGAGGCCUGUGUUCAGGUAAGUGGGAGAUGACAGAACCAUGAGGGAGCAUUACCUCUGAGAUGUUAUCAAGAAAUUCCUCUUUAAAUUAACCUAGAA